AUGGACUUCGCGCAGGAAGCGCAGAUCAUCAACAGGGACAAGCGCUGGAGGUGCGCCAGGACGGCGCAAGACUAAGGAAUGUCAGGAUACAGUCUGCAAAGCCCCGCUUCGGCGGGGUUUU
rnacentral:sRNA from 1 species